rnacentral:rRNA from 1 species
UACGGAGGGGGCUAGCGUUGUUCGGAAUUACUGGGCGUAAAGCGCACGUAGGCGGCGAUUUAAGUCAGAGGUGAAAGCCCGGGGCUCAACCCCGGAAUAGCCUUUGAGACUGGAUUGCUAGAAUCUUGGAGAGGCGAGUGGAAUUCCGAGUGUAGAGGUGAAAUUCGUAGAUAUUAGGAAGAACACCAGUGGCGAAGGCGGCUCACUGGAUCGGUACUGACGCUGAGGUGCGAAAGCGUGGGGAGCAAACAGGAUUGAGAAACCUUACGUAG